ACAGUCACACAUUAGAUACCCCUGUAGUCCCAGCCGUAAACUAUGCGCGUUAGGUGUAUCGGUGACCACGAGUUACCGAGGUGCCGAAGGGAAACCGUGAAACGUGCCGCCUGGGAAGUACGGUCGCAAGGCUGAAACUUAAAGGAAUUGGCGGGGAGCACCACAACGGGUGGAGCCUGCGGUUUAAUUGGACUCAACGCCGGGAAGCUCACCGGAUAAGACAGCGGAAUGAUUGCCGGGCUGAAGACUCUGCAUGACUAGCUG
rnacentral:rRNA from 1 species